rnacentral:SRP_RNA from 1 species
CAAGCAUCAUCACUCAAUAGUAGCUUGUGAACCUGGUCAGGUCUUGAUUGAAGCAGCCAUAAGCGUAGUCUAUUAUGUGGGUGGUGAUGCUUGAUG